ACGAACGCUGGCGGCGUGCUUAACACAUGCCAGUCGCACGGAAAGGCCCUGCUUUUGUGGGGUGCUCGAGUGGCGAACGGGUGAGUAACACGUGAGUAACCUGCCCUUGACUUUGGGAUAACUUCAGGAAACUGGGGCUAAUACCGGAUAGGAGCUCCUGCUGCAUGGUGGGGGUUGGAAAGUUUCGGCGGUUGGGGAUGGACUCGCGGCUUAUCAGCUUGUUGGUGGGGUAGUGGCUUACCAAGGCUUUGACGGGUAGCCGGCCUGAGAGGGUGACCGGCCACAUUGGGACUGAGAUACGGCCCAGACUCCUACGGGAGGCAGCAGGGGGGAAUAUUGCACAAUGGGCGGAAGCCUGAUGCAGCAACGCCGCGUGCGGGAUGACGGCCUUCGGGUUGUAAACCGCUUUCGCCUGUGACGAAGCGUGAGUGACGGUAAUGGGUAAAGAAGCACCGGCUAACUACGUG
rnacentral:rRNA from 1 species